rnacentral:rRNA from 1 species
CCUACGGGGUGCAGCAGUGGGGAAUAUUGGGCAAUGGAGGCAACUCUGACCCAGCAACGCCGCGUGAAUGAUGAAGGUCUUCGGAUUGUAAAGUUCUGUGAUGGGGGAUGAACACAAUGACGGUACCCCAAUAGCAAGCCACGGCUAACUACGUGCCAGCAGCCGCGGUAAUACGUAGGUGGCAAGCGUUAUCCGGAAUGACUGGGCGUAAAGGGUGCGUAGGUGGUUUAGUAAGUUGGCGGUGUAAUUCCGGGGCUCAACCUCGGCGCUACCGCCAAAACUAUUAGACUAGAGUGCAGGAGGGGUAAGUGGAAUUCCUGGUGUAGCGGUGAAAUGCGUAGAUAUUCGGAGGAACACCGGUGGCGAAGGCGGCCAACUGGGCUUUAACUGACGCUGAGGCUCGAAAGUGUGGGGAGCAAACAGGAUUAGAUACCCGUGUAGUC